UAUUGAUUGGACAGAUGUUACUUCAUAAAAAGUUAAAAAAUCUAUAUGAAUAAUCCUAGCUUUAUUUUUGAAUGGACUUGAUUGCUGUAGAGAAGAUCCUGUCCAGCUUUUGUUGACAGAUGCCACCACUGGCAGGACACCAGUUUUAUUAAAAUGUAUCUAAAUAUUGUUCAAGGUCAAAUCAAAGUAAGUCCCCUCAGUACAUAUUAUCCAUGGUAGCUAUGAGACACACGUGGGAGUUGUUAUAAACAGAUCAUUUUCAAAUUGCAAAAAGUAAUGGCUGGAGUUUUGUAUGUCCAGAUUCAAUCUUUUCUUUUUUAGUGUGUUUAGUAAUGACCUUAAAGUGAUUAUUACUCAUGAUGACUACAGGCUACAAACCAAGACCAGGAAAAUGAUUUUGCAGUUUCCUGCAAGCCGAAGAACAUACAGAAGAACUGAAUGGUUACUCUUGAUGAAAACCGCCUGUUUCCACCAACUGACAUCACUGCAUGAAACCCUUCUGAAGCAUCAUGUGUCUCCAGCAAUUGAUGCAGCGCUUCUUACAAUACAUACAUUCAAGGAGUAUGAUAAAACUAGAAUUGACAUAUUAAGA